AUGGCGGAGGCGCUGAGGCGGGUGCUGGAUGCCGGCUGGGCGGCAAGGCCUGGAGAGGAUGGCGUUGCCUGGCCGCCAUUGCUGUUGCUCGGCGCUCCGCGCUCUGCGCAGACGUCGCUGCUGUUUGCAGCCGCCCUUGAGGCGGCAGGGGAAGGCUGCGGGUCUGUCCUCUUCGUGAUGCGAAGGCCCCUUCAGAGCCUGCCGCUCAGUACACCCACAGCGCGAGAGUAUUGGCGGCUCCAGAAGGUUCGAUUCCAGUACCCAUCCUCAAUUCAAGAGCUUCUCCAGCUGCUGGCCUCUGCCCAUGAAGCCCCAGCACCAACUCCAUCCCUUCUACUCCUGGACGGCCUGGAAGAAUAUCUCGCAGAGGAUCCCAGUGCCCAGGAAGCCGCCUACUUGGCUGCAUUGUUUCUGGAUACUGCUGCCUUCUUUAGCCACCCUCUUGGAGCCAAUGGCAGUUGUGGGCUUGUGUGCCCUUGAAACCCAGAAAGAAGCAGAGGCCGAUGCCCCACAUCUGGCAUUACUUAAGCGGUAUUUUCCUGCACAGUGCUGGUUGCAGCCAGAUGCAACAAUGCUUGGGACAGCAUUGCUGCCUUCGAGCCAGCCUAGAGUUGGGCAAACUGAGCCCUAGGACAGAGUGGUCAGUGAGUUUCUUACCCUGUGGAGAGAUGAAGGUCACCCCAUGGCUUGCCCAGGCUUCUAAGCUCAGCCCAGAGAAAAAAGGUUCAAGUGCUGCCAGUCCUUAACUUUGGGAUGUGACAACCUCCCUGGUCCUGGGUCUCCCUUGGAUGGGAUACUUACUUCAGAGACAGGUGCAGAUUCAAAGACCUGAAAAAUGUAGAUUUUCUUUUUAGAAACUAGCAUUAUUGUCAUCAGGGCUGGCAAGAUCCCUUGGCAACGGGCACGAUAAUUUGACUGAUUCCCGGGACCCUCGUGGUAGAAAGAUAGAACUGACUCCUGCAAGUUGUCUUCUGACCUCCACAUUUGGGUGGAAGCACACAGUCCUACACACUAAUGAUAAAUUAGUAAUGAGACCUUUAAGAUAAGUAAGGCCAGCAGAGC